AUUGAACGCUGGCGGCAGGCUUUACACAUGCAAGUCGAACGGCAGCGCGGUAUUAGCUUUGGCGGAGGGUUGGGGAGGGGCGGGUAGGGGAGGGAAACGUGCGCAGCUACGGGUGCUAGGGGGGUGACGGAGGGAUUCUUACCCCAAUCGCCCAGAGGGCGUACGGGGGGGACCGAGGGGUCUUGCGACAUUGGGGGAGUCGAUGUCGGAUUAGCUAGUUGGUGGGGUAAAGGGGUACCAAGGCGACGAUCCGUAGCUGGUCUGAGAGGACGAGCAGCCACACUGGGACUGAGACACGGCCCAGACUCCUACGGGAGGCAGCAGUGGGGAAUUUUGGACAAUGGGGGCAACCCUGAUCCAGCCAUGCCGCGUGCGGGAAGAAGGCCUUCGGGUUGUAAACCGCUUUUGUUCGGGAAGAAAAGCAGUGGGCUAAUACCCCGGGGUGAUGACGGUACCGGAAGAAUAAGCACCGGCUAACUUCGUG
rnacentral:rRNA from 1 species